CUUUGAGAAAACAAAGUAUAUAAAAAGGCCAAAUUAACUGGACUUAAAACAUAACGGGUUAUAACUUCCCGAACCCGUUAAAGUAACUAGGAGUAAUUAACCUAGUUAGUAACAUGUGACUAAAUAAAUAAUGAAUUAUAGUUUCAUUUGAUCAAAAUAAAAACAUGAGGGACUAAAAAGGGGCAAUUGUGAAAGUUGUAUGAUUAAAACAAAAAUAAACCACACCAAACACACACUUAGUGUGUGUCUGGUCGAUGUUAAACACAGGGGGCGACCAGGUUUCUCCAUCAAACCCCAAAUCUCCCAAAAUUCACAAAUUGAAGCCUCUAAUCUGCUCCAAACCAAGUUUCAAGCAUGAAUUAGUGAUCAUCUCGUUGUGGGGAUCAAAAGUUUGACGCGUAACAAGCUAGGUGGAAGCUUGAUGAGGGAGCGGGUCAAACGAAUCAAGAAGGAAAGGAAAAAGCAUAGUUCGGACACGAGGUAAGUAUAUCUUACACUAGUCAUAUAUUUCAUAAUAUCCUUUUGUCGUAUUACGAAAAAGAUAAUUUAUGACGUAAGCCAUAGUAGGCUAAAAAGUGUUAAGAAAUGGAAUUAUAAGUAAGUGACCGCACAGUGUAAAUCGGAGCGAGUCAUAUAUAUAUUUACGAGGUGGUAAUAAAUAUCAUCUCGCUAAUAUAAUCGGUCAAUUCGGCCAAACGGGUCAAAAGGUGAAAUUAUCACCCUUUGACAAUAUCGACUAAUGGGUUGUCAAGAUGCAUGAUUUUAGGAAAUAAAUAGCACAUGGAUGCUUACAUCGCUAUCGCUUAGCAGCCACUAAGGAAAUGUAUUGAAACGGGUCAAUAUAUUGAUCCGAGCCAGGUGAAGAUGGGAUAAGCGGUUUGAAAGAUACGAAAGUUUUCGUGCAAAUAAACGGCAAAAUAGGAAGGCUGGAAUGCAGGGGCCACCGUAAAUUACGGUGCCACCGUAAGUUACGGUGGAGCUGAAGGCUUUACGGCAGCCCCCUACUGAUUUACGGUUCUUUUUGGAUGCCGGAAGACGAUCAAGCUCAUCGAAGGACCGAACACGAUAAAGAUACAUGCUUCCGCACAUUUCCUCGUCGUAAAUUUUUAAACGACAAAUUCGAUCACUUAUGUUGAAUAACUUAUGAUUUGUAAAAGUUUUAAUAAACUCGUAUUUUCAUAGUA